UACGUAGGGUGCAAGCGUUGUCCGGAAUUAUUGGGCGUAAAGAGCUCGUAGGCGGUUUGUCGCGUCGACUGUGAAAACUGGGGGCUUAACUCUCAGCUUGCAGUUGAUACGGGCAGACUUGAGUUCGGUAGGGGAGACUGGAAUUCCAGGUGACGUAGGCGGUGAAAAUGCGUAGAUAUCUGGAGGAACACCGGUGGCGAAGGCGGCGUUCUGGACUGCAACUGACACUGAGGAACGAAAGCCAGGGGAGCAAACGGG
rnacentral:rRNA from 1 species